UCAAUUUUUGGCCUGUUGAACUGGGUUUUAGUUCUUGUUUUUGUACAGGCAGGGCGUUGAAAAGUUUGCCUUGAUGGAAGACUUGAUGUGCACAUGUUCUCUUCUGGAAAUAAACAUCAAAGACUUAAGCCAAAAGACGAGAAGAAGUAACGGGAUAACUUGCUCCUUGCUCCAUGUGAGCGCAGCGUUUUUUUAUUUACAGCAAACAAAGCUUCAUCUCAAUACUCUUGUGCAGCCGGAAGGCCACACAUGCUCAACACCGAGGCGUACCAGCUUCCCAUUACCUGUAUUUGCAUAAAAGCAAAGUAAGACUUGCUUUAAGGUUGCAAAUGAUACAUGAAUAAGUUAUAUUUUACAUGGUGCUUGUGGGCUCCCCUCCUAAUGCGGACCAGCCCAAAUGGCCGGUGUCAAAAAAAAAAAAAAA